rnacentral:rRNA from 1 species
CGAGCGCUUUGUGAUACAUUUUCGAAGAGUCGAGUUGUUUGGGAAUGCAGCUCAAAUUGGGUGGUAAAUUCCAUCUAAAGCUAAAUAUUGGCGAGAGACCGAUAGCGAACAAGUACCGUGAGGGAAAGAUGAAAAGCACUUUGGAAAGAGAGUUAACAGUACGUGAAAUUGUUGGAAGGGAAACGCUUGAAGUCAGACUUGCUUGCCGAGCAAUCGGUUUGCAGGCCAGCAUCAGUUUUCCGGGAUGGAUAACGGUAGAGAGAAGGUAGCAGUUUCGGCUGUGUUAUAGCUCUCUGCUGGAUACAUCUUGGGGGACUGAGGAACGCAGUGUGCCUUUUGGCGGGGGUUUCGACCUCUUCACACUUAGGAUGCUGGUGGAAUGGCUUUAAACGCCCCGUCUUGAAACACGGACCAAGGAGUCUAACAUGCUUGCGAGUAUUUGGGUGUCAACCCCGGAUGCGUAAUGAAAGUGAAGGGAGGUGGGAACCGCAAGGUGCACCAUCGACCGAUCUGGAUUUUUAAUGAUGGAUUUGAGUAAGAGCACGUAUGUUGGGACCCGAAAGAUGGUGAACUAUGCCUGAAUA